GUAAAGCGCGCGCAGGCGGUUUCUUAAGUCUGAUGUGAAAGCCCCCGGCUCAACCGGGGAGGGUCAUUGGAAACUGGGGAACUUGAGUGCAGAAGAGGAGAGUGGAAUUCCACGUGUAGCGGUGAAAUGCGUAGAGAUGUGGAGGAACACCAGUGGCGAAGGCGACUCUCUGGUCUGUAACUGACGCUGAGGCGCGAAAGCGUGGGGAGCGAACAGGAUUAGA
rnacentral:rRNA from 1 species